rnacentral:rRNA from 1 species
UCGGGAAUUUUGGGCAAUGGGCGAAAGCCUGACCCAGCAACGCCGCGUGAAGGAUGAAGUAUUUCGGUAUGUAAACUUCGAAAGAAUGGGAAGAAUAAAUGACGGUACCAUUUAUAAGCUCCGGCUAACUACGUGCCAGCAGCCGCGGUAAUACGUAGGGAGCAAGCGUUGUUCGGAUUUACUGGGCGUAAAGGGCGCGUAGGCGGCGCGGUAAGUCACUUGUGAAAUCUCUGAGCUUAACUCAGAACGGCCAAGUGAUACUGCAGUGCUAGAGUGCAGAAAGGGCAAUCGGAAUUCUUGGUGUAGCGGUGAAAUGCGUAGAUAUCAAGAGGAACACCUGAGGCGAAGGCGGGUUGCUAGGCUGACACUGACGCUGAGGCGCGAAAGCCAGGGGAGCAAACGGGAUUAGAUACCCCGGUAGUCCUGGCCCUAAACGAUGAAUACUUGGUGUCUGGAGUCAUUAAUGCUCCGGGUGCCGUCGCUAACGUUU